AUUGAACGCUGGCGGCGGGCCUAACACACGCAAGUCGAGCGGUAGAGAGGAGCUUGCUUCUCUUGAGAGCGGCGGACGGGUGAGUAAUGCCUAGGAAUCUGCCUAGUGGUGGGGGAUAACGUUCGGAAACGGACGCUAAUACCGCAUACGUCCUACGGGAGAAAGCGGGGGACCCUCGGGCCUCGCGCCAUUAGAUGAGCCUAGGUCGGAUUAGCUAGUUGGUGAGGUAACGGCUCACCAAGGCGACGAUCCGUAACUGGUCUGAGAGGAUGAUCAGUCACACUGGAACUGAGACACGGUCCAGACUCCUACGGGAGGCAGCAGUGGGGAAUAUUGGACAAUGGGCGAAAGCCUGAUCCAGCCAUGCCGCGUGUGUGAAGAAGGUCUUCGGAUUGUAAAGCACUUUAAGUUGGGAGGAAGGGUAGUAACCUAAUACGUUGCUACUUUGACGUUACCGACAGAAUAAGCACCGGCUAACUUCGUGCCAGCCGCCGCCGUAACAC
rnacentral:rRNA from 1 species